AAGAGAGGAACCCAUUAGAGUAGCCAAGGAGACUGCCUGGCUAUCAAACCAGAAUGCUUGUAUAUAUGCAUGGCACAUGAUCACAAGCCUCUAAGAAUGAUGCAGGCAAGUCAUCCUUGGCUAUCAAAUAGGCACUUACCU
rfam:Capsicum annuum cultivar Zunla-1 chromosome 4, whole genome shotgun sequence